AGAGCGAACGCUGGCGGCAGGCCUAACACAUGCAAGUCGAGCGCCCGUAGCAAUACGGGAGCGGCAGACGGGAUAGUAACACGUGGGAACGCGCCCUUCGGUUCGGAAUAACUCAGGGAAACUUGAGCUAAUACCGGAUACGCCCUUACGGGGAAAGAUUUAUUGCCGAAGGAACGGCCCGCGUCCGAUUAGCUAGUUGGUGAGGUAAUGGCUCACCAAGGCGACGAUCGGUAGCUGGUCUGAGAGGAUGACCAGCAUCACUGGGACUGAGACACGGCCCAGACCCCUACGGGAGGCAGCAGUGGGGAAUAUUGGACAAUGGGCGCAAGCCUGAUCCAGCCAUGCCGCGUGGAUGAUGAAGGCCUUAGGGUUGUAAAGUCCUUUUAACGGGGAGAUAAUGACGGUACCGUAGAAUAAGCCCCGGCUAACUUCGUGCCAGCAGCCGC
rnacentral:rRNA from 1 species